CCUUCUCCUAAAAAAAGAAAAAAAAAAAAAAAACGGGAGAGGAGGCGGUUUUUGGAUAAUCGGGGUCAGGGGACUCAGGAAACCUUCCAGGUUCUCCCACCUCUAUGGAAACUGCUCGGAUUUUAUAUUUUGAGCUAGAUUUCCUCAUGACAUCUAUUAGAUGUGUUCCCCUCCUUCAUUCCUUCCUUCUGCUAAACUUCUUCAUGCCUCUUAUUGUGGUUACCAACUUAAAUUCCUUCCUUUCCUCCACUGUCUCUCCUCUACAUUAGGGAACCAUUCCUGCCCCUGCUUCUGAACUUCAGCCUCUCAACUCUGUCAGGUUGCAGGGCCCCUCUCAUUUUGCCCUCUGGCACCUGCAGAACCUUAAACCAGUCCAGGCUGAAACCAGCUCUGAUUCCUCAAGACAGACUGGAAACCUGGAGAAGUUUCUUGUCCCUUCCACCUGCUUCUGCUGUAGGAGGUCCUGAAAUCAUCCCAGUUGAGAAAAAGUAAUGACUCUUAUUACAAAGGCCUUUGCCUUAACAUCUCCUAAACCUCCUUAAAGUUAGAUAAGCUUUUUCUAAAUGUGAUCCCUCUUCCUUUAAGCAGCCGAGAAUUGACCAGGCUGGGAACACUAGCUGGAGAUACUGGUAAAACUUCAAAACUCCCCCAAGGCCAGCGGCUGCACUCUUACCUUUUACAGGAAAUACAUCACCCCCUGAAUGAGGGCCCAGGACAGAAGGAGUGGACCAGGACUCUGCAGACCGGAUACAGCGUCAUUCAAAUCUGGACUCUGCUAAAAUACAGACAUCCCCUCAUAGUAGGCUAGUAUCAUCCUUCCCACCACCCAGUUCCCACUCUGGAAAGGUUAGAAUUAAAUCUCCGUGAAAGAAAUGAUGGCCAAUCUGAGAUGAACACGUGCAUUGUAGUACUAGUUAUUUGGUUCCCCCAUCCACCGAAGCUUCCCUCUGCUCCACGUCACCAGGCUGGGGAUCCAUCCAGGAUGAAAGCUUCAUUAGCGACACUGUAUUGUAUGUUUCCUACACUAGCCUGUUCAAAGCGCACCUACUUUUAAGAGUAACCUUCAUUUCUUGGGCAGUAUCUCCAGCUCAUUUCCUCUCAUUCAAGUCUUCAAGAAAUGGUGGGAUUGCUACCACUCUGCCCCA